rnacentral:rRNA from 1 species
AACAGGAUUAGAUACCCUGGUAGUCCAUGCCGUAAACGUUGGGCACUAGGUGUGGGGGACAUUCCACGUUUUCCGCGCCGUAGCUAACGCAUUAAGUGCCCCGCCUGGGGAGUACGGCCGCAAGGCUAAAACUCAAAGGAAUUGACGGGGGCCCGCACAAGCGGCGGAGCAUGCGGAUUAAUUCGAUGCAACGCGAAGAACCUUACCAAGGCUUGACAUGUUCCUGACCGCCGUAGAGAUACGGUUUCCCCUUUGGGGCAGGUUCACAGGUGGUGCAUGGUUGUCGUCAGCUCGUGUCGUGAGAUGUUGGGUUAAGUCCCGCAACGAGCGCAACCCUCGUUCCAUGUUGCCAGCACGUAGUGGUGGGGACUCAUGGGAGACUGCCGGGGUCAACUCGGAGGAAGGUGGGGACGACGUCAAAUCAUCAUGCCCCUUAUGUCUUGGGCUUCACGCAUGCUACAAUGGCCGGUACAAUGGGUUGCGAUACUGUGAGGUGGAGCUAAUCCCAAAAAGCCGGUCUCAGUUCGGAUUGGGGUCUGCAACUCGACCCCAUGAAGUCGGAGUCGCUAGUAAUCGCAGAUCAGCAACGCUGCGGUGAAUACGUUCCCGGGCCGUGUACACACCGCCCGUCAAGUCACGAAAGUUGGUAACACCCGAAGCCGGUGGCCUAACCCUUGUGGGGGGAGCCGUCGAAGGUGGGACUGGCGAUUGGGACUAAGUCGUAACAAGGUAACC